rnacentral:piRNA from 1 species
UGGAAUAUUUUUUUAACCCAACCUCCCCCU